rnacentral:lncRNA from 1 species
UUUUCUGCUAGUAGUAAAUAACAAAUAUUUUAUAUUUCCCCUUUAAGCAAUUCACUAUGUCUGUGUAUAAUAACCCCAAAACAGAUAACAAGAAUUUGUUUCUGCAGGCUCUUGUGGAUCCAUGUGCUGGUAGGGGAGUGGAAUGGGUCAAAGGUUAUCCAAACAACAAAUCGGAUAUAUAUUUAGUGGAUUUUCAUUUGUUUUCCUGGUUCAGUGAUCGCAAUGGCUAUUCAGGAAAACUGCACCUUACUUCAAAUGGCUGGCGAUGUCUCAUAGGAUUUGGGAAUCGGGGUCAUGUUCACGAUGACUACUCCGUACUUCAACGAAAGCCAUGCAUGUAAGGCAUCUACAAUGACUGUCUCACUGCAGAAACCUCACCUCCUUUCAGUAAUGAAGGUUAUGAAUCACAACUGUUGUGAAUACUCAUUAUUACAUUACAUAAUAGGCAGUAAAGUUUUUUUAUUUGUACAAAUUAUUCUGGAGUUUUAUGCUUUUGCUUGCAACGCAAGUUGCAAACCUUUUAAUAGUAAUCUCAUAGUGAAUAUGAUGAAAGAGGAAUGAAACAUCAUAUGGACUUCAGUCAGAAGAGGGGAUGUCCUAAAAUGUACACUAUAGAGAAGAUCCUUAUACAAUGAAAAACACUAUGUGAGAAUUAGAACACUUGCUUAUAUGCGCAAAUUAAUGACAUGUAUGCUACACUCAGUGUUCCAGAAUCAAUAAACGGCAUAUUAUGUGUUGUUUUCACUCUAAAAAAAUUAAGCCUCAAACUCAUUGUCAUUGUUUUCAUAGAAAUAUGUAUUCAUACUUGCAAAGAUUUAGCUGGUAGCUGCUUUAUUAAGAAAAUAUUUUACUUGCAUGAAUUUAUUUCAAAUGCAGUUACUAUUUUGAAGACUCUCAACUAGAAAUGUAUUUUGAUUUAAGAAUUUUUUGGUUACUACAUGAUUCCAUAUGUUUAAUUUCAUAAUUGUGAUGUCUUCACUAUUAUUCUACAGUGUGGAAAAUGGUAAGAAUAAAGAAAUACCCUUGAAUUAGUAGGUGUCCAAACUUUGUCAGGUACUGUAUAUAUUUCUUGAGUUCAUCUAUUGUCGAGAUGCUAUAUAGUACAGGUAUAGGCUUAGUGGCGUAGUGGUUAAAGACACAGCCACAUGGGAGAACCCGGUUUGAAUCCAAAGAAGACAAAAUUCAUCCCUUCUAAUUGCGGACGGGCUGAGCUAGACUUGCCUGGUUCCUUUUCUUGUUUUAAACUGUGUCUAGGGCAAUAAGCUUUGAGAAAAGAUCAGACAAGAUUGGAGUCAAGCAAGGACAAUCUCAAGGCUACAAGUCC